rnacentral:rRNA from 1 species
AAAUCACGUGCCAGCAGUCGCGGUAAUACGUGGAAGACUAGUGUUAUUCAUCUUUAAUAGGUUUAAAGGGUACUUAGACGAUUGAUUAAGCCUCANGUGGUACUAAUCAAAUAGAGUUUUAUACAAGAAGGGGAGUACUAAAGAGUGUAGAGAUGAAAUUCUGUCAUACCUGACUUGGAACAGACAAAGGCGAAAGCAACCUUUUAUGUAAAAACUGACNUUGAAAGACNAAGGCUUANGACACCAACNGGAUUAGAUACCCUANCAGUCUAANCANACAAUGAUGAAUGUCAUANAUUAGAAUUAUAAUUUUGUCUAUAAAUGAAAGUGUAAGCAUUCCACCUCAAGAGUAAUGNGGCAACNCANGAACUGAAAUCAUUANACCGUUUCUGAAACCAGUAGUGAAGUAUGUUGUUUAAUUUGUCGGUCCGCAAAACACCUUACCACAAUUUGAAUAGUUUUAGUUUAAACAAUUUGUUUAAAUUAAUAUUACAAGCGUUGCACGGNUGUUUUCAGUUANUGUCGUGAGAUUUUGGUUAGUUCCAUAAAAUUAACGUANACCCUUACUUUAUUUAUCAAUAUAAAGUANUUCUCCGUUAUAUUGNAUAUGAUAAAAGGGAAUAAGACAAGUCCAUCUGGCCUUAAUAUUGUGGGUAUA